rnacentral:rRNA from 1 species
UACGAAGGGGGCUAGCGUUGCUCGGAAUGACUGGGCGUAAAGGGCGCGUAGGCGGAUGGCACAGUCAGAUGUGAAAUUCCCGGGCUUAACCUGGGGGCUGCAUUUGAUACGUGUUGUCUUGAGUUCGGAAGAGGGUCGUGGAAUUCCCAGUGUAGAGGUGAAAUUCGUAGAUAUUGGGAAGAACACCGGUGGCGAAGGCGGCCAGCUGGCGCUGACCUGACGCUGAGGCGCGAAGGCGUGGGGAGCGAACGGG